rnacentral:rRNA from 1 species
UACGGAGGGUGCAAGCGUUAUCCGGAUUUACUGGGUUUAAAGGGUGUGUAGGCGGAUAUUUAAGUCAGAGGUGAAAUCUCCGGGCUCAACCCGGAAACUGCCUUUGAUACUAUUUAUCUUGAAUUUCGUUGAGGUUGGCGGAAUAUAUCAUGUAGCGGUGAAAUGCAUAGAUAUGAUAUAGAACACCGAUUGCGUAGGCAGCUGGCUGAACGACGAUUGACGCUGAGGCACGAAAGCGUGGGUAGCGAACAGGAUUAGAAACCCCCGUAGUCC